AUGACCAAGUCCAAGAACGGCUGCCUCAAGAUCCUCUGUGGCGGCGCCGGAUCCGACGCCACCGCCGGCUCCGACCCCGAGACCGACGCCCACGCCGACGAGAGUAAGGCCAUAUCAGAUAAAAGCAGAUGGAGCUUUCGUAGGAGGUCUACAAGGCACCGAGUUCUCAAGAACUCUGAUAUAUCCGAGCCUGAAACUCUAAGUUCGAGCAAAGCAAAAGCUGAUGUUGCUCCAAGCAACAAUGUCUACUCUUCAACAUACUCUUAUGCCUCAGAGAAGCCCCUGCAUCUAGAGAAGCCAGAUGAGAAGAUUGUGCUUCAAGAGAAGCCAGACGAGAAGUCUGUUCACGAAGAGAAGCCCGAUGAAAAACAGACAGAGAAGACAACUGAAAAGCCAGUUGACCAGAUAAUUGAGAGGUCAAUUGAACAGCCAGAUGAAAAGAUAACCGAGAUGCUGAGUGAAGAGCCAGCUGAAAAGGAUGUUGAGAAACUUGAUGAAAAGCCAGAUGAAAGCAUCUCUGUUUCGCCAACUGAGGUGAAGCAGGAUGAAACUGCCACACUUGUUGAUAGAAGCGUUCCAGACCCUGAGGAAGAUCACGUGGAGUCUGCUGCUAUUGUCAUUCAGUCUGGCAUCAGAACAUACAACGCAAGGCAAGAGCUAUCGAACCAUAAGGAUCUUGUGAAACUGCAAGCUGUGAUACGCGGGCAUCUAGUUAGGCGGCAGGCUGCAGAAUCUUUACAAUGCUUGCUUGCUAUUGUUAAAACUCAAGGGCUUGUCCGGACUCAUCAAGCACAACAAUCUUCAGGAAGGUUUCAGGAUACUUUGGUCCGUUCUUCAAGUGAGAAAUUGCUUCACAAUGGAUUUGCUCUCAAGCUCAUGGACAACAUGUCAACUUCCAAAUCCAUGAACAUAAGAUGUGAUGCUUCUGAAACUGAUGCUACCUGGAAAUGGAUGGAGAGGUGGACAACUCUGAUUCUGCCAACCACUGAAGGCCACUUGAUUGAGAAUGCAGAAAAUAGUGGGUUGGUGGUUGAAAAGAUGGAAGAGGAUGCUCACCAUGAGGAAAAGGUUGUUCUUUCGGAGUCAGACAUUUCUUUCCCCAAGUUAGUGCCUGAUGAUGUGGAGGAGACACUAAGGCCUUCUGAAUCUAGUGCCUUUGUGGAAGAGACACCAAGGUCAUUUGAUUUGAGUGGAUUGAAGGCUCCUGAAUGUGUCCCAGAGGAAACCUCUAUGUUGGAAAUCAAAGAUGAUCCUGCACCAGAGUUUAUCGAAAAGGUCGAUGACGAUGCUGAACAGUUGACUGAUUCAAAGACAGAGAAUGUUGUGGAGCAGUCUUUAGACUUCUCUACCCAAACUGAUCCAUCAAGGGAACCCAGCCCUGUUCCUGAAAAAUCUGAAUACCCCAGUGAGGAUGUUAUGGAUGCAUAUAAUCUUGAGCAGUCACUGGAGAUGGAAGCUAGAAGCGCAGCAAGAAAGGCCUGCAAUCCAGCAUUUGCUGCUGCACAGAUGAAAUUCGAAGAGCUGACUUCGGCAGUCAGUAGGUCCAACAGUUCAUCUUUUCUGGAUGCGCCAAGCAAAUCGAAGGUGCACACUCCCCGUUCACAGGGUGGUACCUCACCCAAGCAAAAUAUUGAAACAGUCAUACCCGGAAGCACAGUUGGUCAUGAUGCUAAAAUCAUACCUGCUGCUUCAGAAUGUGGGACUGAGAUUUCAAUUUCAUCUACACUUGACUCACCAGAUAGAUCAGAAGCUGAUGGUGGUGAGAUUGUAAUGGAGAUGGGAGCUCUUGGAGGUCGGAACUACGCCAGUGAGAAUGCCGAGAAAGAUACCCAUGUUUUACAUUCUGAAGUGAAGGACACCUCCGAAGAAGUCGUCCAGCCAGAGAAAGAGGAAGAACUGAAUGGUGAUGUUGCUAACCCUCCCAUUGCCACAGAUCCUGUCCUUGAGCAAGCACAUGUUGAAUCAGGAAAGCCAGAUUUGCAUGACCAAAUAGAGGAGUCUAUAGGAUCAUAUGCCAAGUCACCUGAGGGAACUCCCAUGAGCCGAACCACUUUUGCGGAAUCUCAAUGCACACCAUCAAGUGAGGUCUCUGUCAAUACCAACAAGAGCAAGAGCAAGAGCAAAAAAUCAAAGUCUCAUGCAAGCAGAAGGUCCCUGACUAGUCCAAGCAGCAAUUCAGUCGGCCGAAGCAGCACAGAUAAUCUGUCAAAGGAUUAUAAGCAUGCGAAGAGAGAGAGCUCAGGCAAAGUCGCCAAGUCUGACAAUGCUGAUCAAGAACCUCGCAUGAGCAACAGCACUCCAUUGCCAAGUUACAUGCAGUUCACAGAAUCUGCAAGAGCAAAGGCGGCUGCUCUAUCCCCAAAGUUAAGCCCAGAUGUUCAAGACAAUAACCCGAGGAAGAGGCAUUCUUUGCCCAUAACAAACGGCAAAAAUGAAACAUCUCCUCGCAUGCAACGGUCAUCUUCCCAAGCCCAGCAAAAUGUGAAGAGCAGCGUUGCUGUUCCUCACAAUCCGUCUGUGUACGUCUGUCUUAAGGAUCUUCUUAUGUGCACAGAUAAGAGGUGGAAUAUAUGA
rnacentral:rRNA from 1 species